UACAGACGACAUGAGGUGGUAAACCAAGAACCAAGCAUUCAGGAACUGAAGGACAGAUGGCCUGCACUCUUCACACAGAAAGAGAUAAAUACAGAGUUCCAGAGGCUCAUGGCUGUUCCUCUUGAGUGGAAGUUCAUGGCCCAGUUAGACAUGCACUCAAGUCAGCUGAUCAAAGUCAUACGUGCCAAAGGAGGAGCAACACGCCAAAAGGUUGCGAACAUCAUGGACACAUUGGACCAGACUGUGGACAUUAAUCAUCGGAGGAAUGUGUGCUGAAAGCCCUCACCAUCUUCCUGGGAGAAGAUGCAGAUGGCCUGAUCAAGGAAUACCUUGACUGUGGAGCAGAUGAUGUUCAGAGGGACCUGGAGGUCAUCAUGGCAGUGUAUGUGAUUCGGAAGGAGGGGGAGGGACUGCAGGAGCCACCUGAAGACAUUGGCAUUGUCAUUGAGGGUGUGGAAGUGUUGC